rnacentral:tRNA from 1 species
GCCGGGAUAGCUCAGUCGGUAGAGCAGAGGACUGAAAAU